rnacentral:rRNA from 1 species
AGUGAACGCUGGCGGUAGGCCUAACACAUGCAAGUCGAACGGCAGCACAGUAAGAGCUUGCUCUUACGGGUGGCGAGUGGCGGACGGGUGAGGAAUACAUCGGAAUCUACUUUUUCGUGGGGGAUAACGUAGGGAAACUUACGCUAAUACCGCAUACGACCUACGGGUGAAAGCAGGGGAUCUCCGGACCUUGCGCGAUUGAAUGAGCCGAUGUCGGAUUAGCUAGUUGGCGGGGUAAAGGCCCACCAAGGCGACGAUCCGUAGCUGGUCUGAGAGGAUGAUCAGCCACACUGGAACUGAGACACGGUCCAGACUCCUACGGGAGGCAGCAGUGGGGAAUAUUGGACAAUGGGCGCAAGCCUGAUCCAGCCAUACCGCGUGGGUGAAGAAGGCCUUCGGGUUGUAAAGCCCUUUUGUUGGGAAAGAAAAGCAGCAGGUUAAUACCCCGCUGUUCUGACGGUACCCAAAGAAUAAGCACCGGCUAACUUCGUG